rnacentral:rRNA from 1 species
UGCCAGCAGCCGCGGUAACAUGGGGGGCGCAUGCGUUAUUCGGAAUUAUUGGGCGUAAAGCGCGUGUAGGCGGUUCGUUAAGUCUGAUGUGAAAGCCCGGGGCUCAACCCCGGAAGUGCAUUGGAAACUGGCGAACUUGAGUACGGGAGAGGAAAGUGGAAUUUCCGGUGUAGCGGUGAAAUGCGUAGAUAUCGGAAGGAACACCAGUGGCGAAGGCGACUUCCUGUGCCAAUACUGACGCUGAGGUGCGAAAGCGUGGGGAGCAAACAGGAUUAGAUA